rnacentral:rRNA from 1 species
ACAGGUGGGCAGGAUGAAAAUUCUAAGGCGCUUGAGAGAACUCAGGAGAAGGAACUCGGCAAAUUAACACCGUAACUUCGGGAGAAGGUGUGCCCCGGUAGCGUGUAGAGACUUGCUCUCGAAGCGCGAUGGGGUUGCAGUGAAAUGGUGGCUGCGACUGUUUAAUAAAAACACAGCACUCUGCAAACACGAAAGUGGACGUAUAGGGUGUGACGCCUGCCCGGUGCCGGAAGGUUAAGUGAUGGGGUGCAAGCUCUUGAUCGAAGCCCCGGUAAACGGCGGCCGUAACAAUAACGGUCCUAAGGUAGCGAAAUUCCUUGUCGGGUAAGUUCCGACCUGCACGAAUGGCGUAACGAUGGCCACACUGUCUCCUCCUGGGACUCAGCGAAGUUGAAAUGUUUGUGAAGAUGCAAUCUACCCGCGGCUAGACGGAAAGACCCCAUGAACCUUUACUGUAGCUUUGCAUUGGACUUUGAACCGGUUUGUGUAGGAUAGGUGGGAGACUGUGAAGCCGGGACGCUAGUUUCGGUGGAGUCAACCUUGAAAUACCACCCUGAUUUGUUUGAGGUUCUAACCUUGGUCCGUGAAUCCGGAUCGGGGACCGUGCAUGGUAGGCAGUUUGACUGGGGCGGUCUCCUCCCAAAAGGUAACGGGGGAGUACGAAGGUACGCUUAGGGCGGUCGGACAUCGCCCACAAAGUGCAAUGGCAAAAGCGUGCUUGACUGCGAGACCCACAAGUCGAGCAGGUACGAAAGUAGGUCAUAGUGAUCCGGUGGUUCUGUAUGGAAGGGCCAUCGCUCAACGGAUAAAAGGUACUCUGGGGAUAACAGGCUAAUUCCUCCCAAGAGUUCAUAUCGACGGGGGAGUUUGGCACCUCGAUGUCGGCUCAUCACAUCCUGGGGCUGUAGUCGGUCCCAAGGGUAUGGCUGUUCGCCAUUUAAAGUGGUACGCGAGCUGGGUUUAAAACGUCGUGAGACAGUUUGGUCCCUAUCUGCCGUGGGCGCUGGAAAUUUGAAGGGGGCUGCUCCUAGUACGAGAGGACCGGAGUGGACGAACCUCUGGUGUACCGGUUAUGACGCCAGUCGUAUCGCCGGGUAGCUAAGUUCGGAAGAGAUAAACGCUGAAAGCAUCUAAGCGUGAAACUCGCCUUAAGAUAAGAUUUCCCGGAGUCUUGAACUCCCUGAAGGGUCGUCGAAGACCACGACGUUGAUAGGUCAGGUGUGGAAGCGCAGCAAUGCGUUAAGCUAACUGAUACUAAUUGCCCGUGCGGCUUGAUCC